rnacentral:rRNA from 1 species
CCUACGGGAGGCAGCAGUGGGGAAUAUUGCACAAUGGGGGAAACUCUGAUGCAGCAACGCCGCGUGAAGGAAGACGGUUUUCGGAUUGUAAACUUCUAUCAAUAGGGAAGAAAGAAAUGACGGUACCUAAAUAAGAAGCCCCGGCUAACUACGUGCCAGCAGCCGCGGUAAUACGUAGGUGGCAAGCGUUAUCCGGAAUUACUGGGUGUAAAGGGAGAGUAGGCGGCAAGGUAAGCGGUAUGUGAAAGCCUUAAGCUUAACUUAAGGAUGACAUAACGAACUAUCUAGCUAGAGUACAGGAGAGGAAAGCGGAAUUCCUAGUGUAGCGGUGAAAUGCGUAGAUAUUAGGAAGAACAUCAGUGGCGAAGGCAGCUUUCUGGACUGAAACUGACGCUGAGGCUCGAAAGCGUGGGGAGCGAACAGGAUUAGAUACCCUAGUAGUC